GAAAGCCAAGGAUCCAAUCAGGCCCUCAGUGCAGGAAAACAGUGUUGCAUAUGCUGUGAGGAUGGCUCUCUGCUGAAUGGAGAUCGCAGCAAGCAGUGCUGUGGAAAGCAGGCGUUCGACCCAAGUUUACAGUCAUGCUGCGUUGAUCGUCUACAUGAAGGAGCAGGGCUGUCCUGCUGUAACACCACUGCCUACAGACCCACUAAAUCCUCCUGCUGCCAGGGUAAUUUGACUUCAGGUGUGAGUGAACUGGUGUCAGAUUGCUGUCAGUCAGUGGCGUUUUACCCACUCAGUGAGAUUUGCUGUGAAGGGCGGAUCCACCCACGCCACCCACAUUCAAAGUGC